rnacentral:rRNA from 1 species
AAGCGGUGACGCCUGGCAAAUCCCAGAAAUAACGUCCCAGUUCGGAUUGUAGUCUGCAACCCGACUACAUGAAGCUGGAAUCGCUAGUAAUCGCGAAUCAGAAUGUCGCGGUGAAUACGUUCCCGGGUCUUGUACACACCGCCCGUCACACCAUGAGAGUUGGCAAUACCCAACGUACGUGAUCUAACCCGCAAGGGAGGAAGCGUCCUAAGGUAGGGUCAGCGAUUGGGGUGAAGUCGUAACAAGGUAUC